rnacentral:rRNA from 1 species
CCUACGGGAGGCAGCAGUAGGGAAUAUUGCUCAAUGGGGGAAACCCUGAAGCAGCAACGCCGCGUGGAGGAUGAAGGUUUUCGGAUUGGUAACUUCUUUUUUUAGAGAAGUUAAUGACGGUAUCUAACGAAUAAGCACCGGCUAACUCCGUGCCAGCAGCCGCGGUAAUACGGAGGGUGCAAGCGUUAUCCGGAAUAACGGGGCGUAAAGAGUGCGUAGGGGGGAUAGCAAGUCAGAUGUGAAAUCCUAUGGCUUAACCAUAAAACUGCAUUUGAAACUGUUAUUCUAGAGUAUGGGAGAGGUAGGUGGAAUUCUUGGUGUAGGGGUAAAAUCCGUAGAGAUCAAGAGGAAUACUCAUUGCGAAGGCGACCUGCUAGACCAUAACUGACGCUGAUGCGCGAAAGCGUGGGGAGCAAACAGGAUUAGAUACCCGGGUAGUC